UGGCAAGAAAAAGUUCUGUAAAGAUAGCACUUCUUAGCACAGUCCUCGCCCAUGUUAUUAAAAGAUGCAUUUCCACUUUGACAGUGAUUUCCCCACCAGAGGAGAGCCUGGUUGGGCAGCUCUGAGCCCCUUAGCCCGUAUCUUUCCCGUCAGCUAGCAUUGGCUGCCACCAGCCCUCCCUUCUCCCUCACCUCUCCAGGGCGUACCUAGAGCAGCUAUUAAAACUCUAAGCCGU
rnacentral:sRNA from 1 species